GCUCCGGAGCUCCAGCCCGAAGUCAACCAGGUGAUCUCGGAGCUCUAGCUAGAGACCUACGGGGAGGUCUCAGCUCCAGAGCUCCCGUCUGAGGUCAACUUUGCGACCUCGGAGCUUCCAUCUGCGGUCAACUAGGCGACCUCUGUGCUCCAGCUUGAGACCUACGGGGAGGUCUCAGCUCCAGUGCUCCAGCCCGAGGUCAACUUGGCGACCUCGGAGCUCCCACCUGAGGUCAACCAGGCGACUUCAGAGAUCAAGCUUGAGAGUUACGGGGAGCUCUCAGCACCGGAGCUCCCACCUGAGGUCAACUUUGUGACAUCGGAGCUCCCAUCUGAGGUCAACCAGACGACCUCAGAACUCCAGCUUGAGAUCUAUGGUGAGGUCUCAGCUCCGGAGCUCCUGCCCGAGGUCAAAACGCUGACAUCGGAGCUCCAGCUAGAGACCUUCAGGGAAGUCUCAGCUCCGGAGCUCCAGCUCGAGAUCAACUUGGCGACCUUGGAGCUCCAGCUUGAGACCUACGGGGAGGUCUCAGCUCCGGAGCUCCAGCGCGAGGUCAACAUGGCAACCUCAGAGCUCCGGCUAGAGACCUACGGGGAGGUCUAAUCUCCAGAGCUCCCGCCUGAGGUCAACAUGGCGACCUCGGAGCUCCCGCCUGAG
ensembl:lncRNA